CCACAUCUUUAGCUCUUAGUUUUCCCCCACAAUGCUCUUUUUCCUGAAAGUCUUUCGUAGAUAUUAAUUUCCCUCUCCCAGAAGGAUUAGCUAUUGCGUUUACCCCUAGUAUUAAGAUGAGUGUAAGGUACCUAGCUUGCUCCCAAAGGCAGGGUAGAGAUGAGCCAAUCUGAGAUAAUGCAUCUGAUAUUUUUUCCCAGGAUUGAUAGCAAAUCUAGUAAUGUGAAGA
rnacentral:lncRNA from 1 species